rnacentral:misc_RNA from 1 species
UUUCCGUAGGUGAACCUGCGGAAGGAUCAUUCAUAAUAAAGUGUUUUAUGGCACUUUUUAAAAAUCCAUAUUCACCUUGUGUGCAAUGUUAGAUCUCGUCAAUCUUGGCGAGAUUUUUAUACAUCAACUCAUUCUUUAACUAAUUUGUCUGAAAAAUAUUAUGAAUACUUAAUUCAAAAUACAACUUUCAACAACGGAUCUCUUGGCUCUC